GAGGGGGGGGGGGGGGGGGGGGCAGCCACCCUUAUAACUGGCUUUCUUCAUGGUUCUCUAAAAAUUAAGGCUUUCCUUGCGAGACGAGAAUCUUCACCAUCUGAAUCAUGACGCUUUUGUCCCUUUGGAUUUGGAUGUGGGUUGGAUGCGGAACCAUCAUCUGGGCAGCUCCUGAAUGUUUAAAGGAACAACACCAGACUCUUGGGUCCCUCAGAAUAAAAAGCAUCCAUUCGUUCAAUUGGCAAAUUCCCAGUACAACAGCAGCGCUUUUGUCCCUUUGGAUUUGGAUGUGGGUUGGAUGCGAACCAUCAUCUGGGCAGCUCCUGAAUGUUUAAAGGAACAACACCAGACUCUUGGGUCCCUCAGAAUGAAAAGCAUCCAUUCGUUCAAUUGGCAAAUUCCCAGUACAACAGCAGGUCAGGACAUUGAGUUGGUUGACACAUACAGAUUCCUUGGUGUCUAUGUCAACAACAAGCUGGACUGGAAGCUCAACUCAGAGGCUGUAUACAAGAAAGGGAU
ensembl:lncRNA